AUUCGUUAUUUUGUAUGCACUUGGAAAAUUAAAUUGCACAUCGAGUCCCCGUGAAGCCAAUGUAUUCCGCCAAAAAGUUGGACCCUGUAACAAAUUUGGAAAAAAUGGAAACUAUCAAAACUCUACAGUAUACAAUAAGAAAUGUCGUCCACUGAAAUCCCACUUACCCCGUUCAUAUUCAACAUUGCGUGUCAAAAUAAAUAAAUCAUACGGAAAAAAGGAAAAGAAAUUACAACCGUUUUGCAAAUUUACACACAAAGGCAGCCACCAUUCUUAAGAGUAGCAACAAAAGCCAAGGGAAAGCCAUGAAGAAACUCUAGGUAGAAAUUUUAGCCCCGAAGGACCUCUGAACCUCUUGUUGGCGGUAAUGAAUAUAAUGUACCUAUUGCUUCUGAUGAUGAAGUAGAACAAAUUAGUAAAUUUUCAAAAACGGCAUUCGCGCUAAUGGUAUUCUUAGGAACAUAGACAUUAAUGGUAACAUAUCAAUUAAUGGUAAGUGAAUGGAUUAACAAGCAAACUUUCAUUUUUGGA